ACGAGCGCAACCCUUAUCUUUAGUUGCCAGCACAUAAUGGUGGGGACUCUAGAGAGACUGCCGGUGACAAACCGGAGGAAGGUGGGGAUGACGUCAAAUCAUCAUGCCCCUUAUGUUCUGGGCUACACACGUGCUACAAUGGCAGAUACAACGGGAAGCGAAGGGGUGACCUGAAGCAAAACCCAAAAAGUCUGUCCCAGUUCGGAUUGUAGGCUGCAACUCGCCUACAUGAAGUUGGAGUUGCUAGUAAUCGCGGAUCAGAAUGUCGCGGUGAAUGCGUUCCCGGGUCUUGCACACACCGCCCGU
rnacentral:rRNA from 1 species